rnacentral:rRNA from 1 species
GUCCACACCGUAAACGAUGGAUACUAGGUGUCCGGCCUUUCGGGGCUGGGUGCCCAAGGGAAACCGAUAAGUAUCCCACCUGGGGAGUACGUCCGCAAGGAUGAAACUCAAAGGAAUUGACGGGGCCGCACAAGCGGUGGAGCAUGUGGUUUAAUUCGAUGAUACGCGAGGAACCUUACCUGGGCUAGAAUGCCCCUGACCGGCCGUGAAAGCGGUUUCCCUUCGGGCAGGUGCAAGGUGCUGCAUGGUUGUCGU